ensembl:lncRNA
GUAGGCGAGAGCAACAUGAAUCUCCGGGCAAGUUAAGUUUAUCUCCGAGGCUCGAUGCUAAGGAGUGACCGUGGGUUAGUUAGGUAGUGGGGUCCAGUCUGCCAAUGAGAAGUGGGGGUGUGGUAUAUGCAAAUUAUCAGGGACUCUAGCGCCACCCUCAGGACAAGCCACGCCUCUCUGCAAGACCAGGCAGAAUGGACAGAAGACCUACACCAUAAACAAGCCUACACAAAGAACAAAGGAAAUGAGAAUCUGCCCGCACCAGGUUUAAACAGACUGGAAAACCCCAAGGGUCUAGGUGAUAUGGUUAGAGGAAUCUGCACUUUACAGGGUUGUAAAUUGAAUACUCCUUUGGAGCUGUUAGAUUCCUGCUAUCUUUUCCUCUGUGGCUCAAGACCAAUACUACUUCCAAGGAGAAAUAAAAUCAUCUCUGAAAAGGCCAGGGCUGAGUCCCAUUCUGUCUCCUCCAUAUUCUACCAACACAACUGUCACUGUGAAUGGAUAUCUGCCCCACCUGCUAAGAUACACAUCCUGCUAGCCUUCUAACCCACAUACUGGAUUUGUACCCC